GCAUCCGUAGCUUAGAUGGAUAGAGCACUCGGCUACGAACCGAGAGGUCGGAGGUUCGAAUCCUUCCGGAUGUA
rnacentral:tRNA from 1 species